AGCCCUGGGCAAUUCACCUUUUCUUUAAAUACUCAUGUCACAUUUGUGCUGUUGCCAAUGCUUCUCAGACCCUCCAGAUGAGGACAUUUCCCUGAGGAGGUGGCUAUGAUGGUAGAACUUACAAGACUUCAGUGGACAUAAGGAGACGGGGUCAAGGUGGCAGGCAAGAUGGUCAAAUAGAAGUAGCUUCAGUCUGCAGCUCCCAGUGAGAUCAACACAGAAGGCAGGUGGUUUCUGCAUUUCUAACUGAGCCUCUGCUGGUGAUACCCAAGCAAACAGGGUCUGGAGUGGACCUCCAGCAAACUCCAGCACACCUGCAGCAGAGGGGCCUGACUGUUAGAAGGAAAACGAACAAACAGAAAGGAAUAGCAUCAACAUCAACAAAAAGGACAUCCACACAAAAACCCCAUCUGAAGGUCACCAGCAUCAAAGACAAAGGAAACAAUGCCAAGAAUACGUUAAUCUAAACCCAUGAUGUUUCUACAUCUCAAAGAACAGAGAGAAAAGGAAACUGGAGAGAGGCCAGAAGUGACCAACUCUAUUCCCUCAUUUCUGUGUUAUACUCCCUUUGUCUAAUCUUCCCUACCCUACCAGGUGGUUUAAGAAUUUUAUCCUUUCUCCAGACUAGAAGAGGAAGUGGGGGCCGGAAUUAGGUGUAUACAAAUUGUUGGAAAGCCUUUGUGUGGAUUUGGAGGGCUGAAGUAGAGUAUCAUUUUUACAAAGCAGCCCAAGCCUCUAAUCUGAGCAGGAAGAUUCACACUCAUUCUCUGGCAUGAGUCCUAUCAGGAGGAUCAAUGAAGCCAAGGCUGUAGAAAUAAAUAAUUAAUCUCUCCACCCAAGGAGGCUAGUAAACAAUAUUCAAUACGUGAAUACUGAGUUCUGCCAAGAGGAAGAAGCAUAUAAACCAGGCAACUGCUGAACGCAUUGCCAAAAAGGGAGACUUACGCAUCAUUCACUAAAGCUUUCCAAAAACUAAAUCAGAUCCAAGAACAGAUAAACUCCUGCAGAAUGACAAUGGUGGAGAAAUUGACCUCCCAGCAUUGCAGACUUACAUCAGUUGUUCUGAUGUUCUUAGUUAUAUCAGAUUCCUUCCAGAAUCUUCUAAAUAUAUCAGACGGUCAGACACAACCCCAGGCCCUAAUAAAAAACCCUGAUGCUGGCC
rnacentral:lncRNA from 1 species